rnacentral:rRNA from 1 species
GACGAACGCUGGCGGCGUGCUUAACACAUGCAAGUCGAACGGAAAGGCCCUGCUUUUGUGGGGUGCUCGAGUGGCGAACGGGUGAGUAACACGUGAGUAACCUGCCCUUGACUUUGGGAUAACUUAAGGAAACUGGGGCUAAUACCGGAUAGGAGACCCUGUUGCAUGGUGGGGGUUGGAAAGUCUCGGCGGUUGGGGAUGGACUCGCGGCUUAUCGGCUUGUUGGUGGGGUAGUGGCUUACCAAGGCUUUGACGGGUAGCCGGCCUGAGAGGGUGACCGGCCACAUUGGGACUGAGAUACGGCCCAGUCUCCUACGUUAGGCAGCAGUGGGGAAUCUUGCACAAUGGGCGGAAGCCUGUUGCAGCAGCGCCGCGUGCGUGAUGACGUCCUUCUGGUUGUAAACCGCUUUCGCCUGUGACGAAGCGUUAGUGACGGUAAUGGGUAAAGAAGCACCGGCUAACUACGUG